GAUCUGACGAGAAUUUUUGGUGAAUUUGGGCCAAUCACUAGUGUUGUGGUGAUGAGAGAUGGUGAUGGAAAAUCAAAGUGCUUUGGAUUUGUCAACUUUGAGAAUGUGGAUGAUGCUGCUAUGUCUGUUGAGGCUCUUAAUGGGCAGAAAUUUGAUGAUAAGGAGUGGUAUGUUGGGAAGGCCCAGAAAAAAUCUGAAAGGGAAAUUGAAUUAAAAAGUCGAUUUGAACAGAAUAUGAAGGAGGCAGUUGACAAAUUUCAAGGAGCAAACCUCUACAUCAAAAAUUUAGAUGAUAGCAUUGGUGAUGAUAAACUAAAGGAAUUGUUUGCUCAGUUUGGUACAAUUACUUCAUGCAAGGUCUGUAGCAUCUAUUUCUUGAACAGGAAAAUACCUGCAUAAGCAAUCCUUUUAAUCUAUUUGCUGAAGCUUUGUAUUCCUUUGAUAUCUCGACAGGUUAUGCGAGAUCCCAAUGGUUUAAGUAGAGGAUCAGGGUUUGUUGCAUUCUCAUCUCCUGAGGAGGCAUCUAGAGCUGUGAGUUGUUUUGAUUGUGUGUGUUGGUGAAAACCUUUACAUAUUUUUCCUCUUAUAAAAAAAAUAAUAUAUAUUUCUUUGUUUUGAUAGCUUGCUGAGAUGAAUAGCAAAAUGGUUGUUAGCAAACCUUUAUAUGUUGCCCUUGCGCAACGUAAAGAAGAUAGAAGAGCAAGGUUGCAGGUAUUUAUGUUUUUGUUUUUUCAUUGUUUUGAACUCUCAACUAACUGGAAUUGAACAGAAAAGGAUGGUACUGAUUAUAAUGAUGUUGCAACAUAUAAAUGCUGUGUGCUUUUCUCCUAGAAUACCUAAAUUCAUUUUCAUAUGGGCUAUUUGCCAAAAAGAAUGGGAGACACAUGCAAUGAGUUAGAUUUUUUACCCUGCACCAUCUUCUAUGUUGAGAGUGUUGGAAGCGUUUCUCAUGUGAGCACAUGUCAAAUGGGCAUUAUAGUCAUGGGGUUAUUCUGAUGCCUGGUAGUUGUGUGGUUCUUCAUGCUUAAGCCAAAUUUCCAUUUGCUUUUUCAGGCUCAAUUUUCUCAAAUGCGUCCUGUUCCAAUGCCACCUUCCGUUGUUCCUCGUUUGCCAAUGUAUCCACCCAGUGGUCCUGGUCUUGGACAACAAAUGUUCUACGGUCAAGCGCCACCUGCUAUUAUUCCUCCUCAAGUAAUCCUUUUCUCUUGACAUUUGCAUCCUUAACAUUUUUGGUUCCUUUAUUGGAUAUAUUAUAAAAGUUCAUAGCAUUCUUUGGAUCAUUUAAAUGAGCAUUCUUAUCUGAAAGUUCUGUUUGGUUAAGGAGUUUGGGUAGAUGCUUUCCUCUGUUUCAUAGAGCUCAUCCAUUGAGAAGCUGUGGUGCCAUAUAUCAAUUUCUUGUUUGUGCAUGUAGUUUGAGAUAAAUGCCAAGCGUUGCUUAUUAAUGGUGAUUUGAUGACAUUAUUUUCCAGAAGAAGGGAAUUAACACUGAGUUUUUGUAUGACAGUACAGUUCUAAUCUGACGUUUGAAAAAAUGCAUUGAUUUUACUUUGCUUGAGCACUUCUGUUGGUUGGUUAGGGAGUGAAUCACUGUGUUAAGCUGAAAUCUCUGAUUACCUUGUGAAACAGGGGUCUGGGUAUAUAGAUGGUUAAGGUGGCUUUUUCUUUUAUAUUAUCAGUUCUUAACCACUCCUCCAACUGGCCUGUAGUAGCUCUCUCUGUCAGUUGUGCACUUCCCAUCCUGCUGAAAGGGUUUAGACCAGUGUUUUGAAAAGCAUUGCUGAGGUGUGCCUUGAAGCGCGCUCUAAGGUGAGGCGUCCAGAAAACGCCUUGAGGCGUUGAAAAAAAAAAAGGCAGCACAUGAAAGGCGCACGCGUUUUGGCCUAAGGCCCUUUUGAGACGCACUCUGCAUAUGCCUUUUACUCCUCAUAGUUAGAUGCGUGAGCCUUUUGGUUGUUGAGGUGGCCAACCCAAAAAACAAGAACUUUUGAAGAAAACCUAUCAUUUAACCCCUAAAUCCUCAAACUCUCAAAGAGAAAACAGAAUAGAGAAAGAAAUUGAGAGAAACCUAACCCUAACUCUCCGCGUCAUUGGCUGAUUGAAGAUCCAACUUUUCUUCGACAAUCUCCUUGCUAAGACGGAACAGCCUACUCCAUCCUCACUCUGCGACAUCACCCCAUGAUGAUGUUUUGUGGCAGAGCUUCUUCCUUAUCUCGAAAGGUGUUGUCUUCUUUUUCUGCGGAGCUUCUCCUCUCAGUCUCACUUCUCUCUCUCUCACUUCACCCAACAAUCUCACCACACCACUUACACUCGGAACUCUUUUUUAAUAUUUAUAUUGUUUUAUAUUCCUCACCCCACGACCACACAUUUGAGUAUAUUAUUUUUGUUUCUUUCCACUCUUUUAAUUUUUUUGUCUUGCCUCACCACACACUGAAUUUUUUUACUCUUUUUUCUCAAAUCACCACUUCUCACUUUCUGCCCUCACGCCCACAGUCCACACUCCACAGAAACAUGUUUUCAUUAUUAUUGUUAUUAUUUUUGUUGCUUUUUUGAACGACAAAUUAAAAUUAAAUAAAAUAAAAUUAUUUUGAUUUAUUGAAUUAUUAGAUUGCUGUACAAUAUGGUUACUUUUAUAAUUCUAAUGGAUUAUUUUUCAUGUUUUUUAUUGAUGCAAUUUUAUUUAAAAUAUUUAUUAAUUACAAAAAAUGAGGGUCUCAAAAGGCUUAUGCCUCAACACUUUGAGGCUUACGCCUCGCCUCAUGGACACAAAAAUGCCUUGCCUUAUGCUUUUACCUUUGAAAACUUUGAUUUAGACUCCUCCAUGUGUUAACCUUUGACUAAUGAAACAUUUGGCUUGUAAGCUUAGAUUAAUUGUAGGUUAUGUGGUGUUUGCUAAUCAAAAUGCAAUUUUUGGGGCAAGCAAACCAACUUGCCUAAAAGAUAUGGACCUACAAUGUAUAUCUUAUUAAUAUCUCCCUCGCUCAUGUGCUGUAAUUUUAGAUAAGUUGAUGCGAAAUAUGGUUAGAGAGGCUUGAACUAGAGACUUCCAGUUAAUUAUAACUAUGAUACCAUCUUAAGCAGCUAAUAGACAAAAAUAAAUAGAUAGGGAAAGACUCAAACUCAAGACCUCCAAGUAACUAGAACUUUGAUAUCGUGUCAAGUGAUUAACAUUCCUAGAAGCUUUAGCUAUCAUGAUAUGAGCCCACGAUGUAUACUAGAUUAAUAUUAUCAAUCUACAAAAAAAAAAAAGGGAAAAAACAAUUAGUUUUUUGGCCUUGUGGGAGGGAGGAUUAAAGUAACUUUAUUUUUAUUUUUUUUAUAAGUAAAGAGAGUUUAUUAAUAAACGCUAAAAGCACACAAGAGUACAUGAGUCCUAUACAAAGAGCACCAAACAAAAACAAGAAAGAGGGUACACAAAUACUCUCUUCCUCAUCCAAGACCCAACCGAUCUAUAGAAUCAACCAAAUGAGUAUAACUUCUGCCUAUAUACACCCUAACCCAUAGAGAAAUUGUUAAGGGAAAUAUUUUAGCCUUUUUUUUUUUUGAUCAGAAACGAAGAGAAAUAUAUUAAUAGAAGGAAAGAAGGGAAAUAUUUUAGCCUUUGAUCUAACAAUUCCUCACAUUCAAAGAAUCUCUUAUUUGUUUCCUUCCAGAUUGUCCAGAAAAUACGAAGAGCAACUCUCCAAGCCUUACUACGCCUUCUGUUUACAAAAGAGUCAUGCCAACCUAGGAGAGUCUCCCUAAGUGACUCAUAUAUAACCCACCAAAUAUAAAAAAUGAAGAACACCAGCUGCCAUAAGAUUCUCGCCUUGUCACUAUGAAGGAGGAUAUGAUCAAUAGAGUCAUGACUCCUCUUUACACAAUGCACACCUAUUUGUCAAUGUCCACUCUCUUCUUUGAAGCUAAUCCAAUGUCAAUACCUUUCCCUAGCAAGCCUCUCAAGUGAAGAAACUCACCUUCGAAGGAAUCCACGAGGUCCAUAUUAUCUUUAAAGAGAAAAGGAUGGUAUAAUUUGUCUCCAACAUAAAGUAAAGCCCUCUUACAAGGAAGACCCCUUUGUUAUCUCCCUUCCAAACUACUCCAUCCUCCUCCUCCCUCUUCAUUGUUUGUCCUUGGACUUUAGAUGGGAAUCGUUCCAUGACACCUAACUCCGAAUCAUUCUAGUUCCUAACAAAAUGGAAGUUUUGAUUUCCUCUUUCUCCAUGUUGCUUCCAAAAAUCAGCUACCCAUGCCUUCUUCAAAUCAAAUGGGGUCAAUAUCUUUCCUUAGCAAGCCUCUCAAGUGAAGAAACUCACCUUAAAAGGAAUCCACGAGUUCCAUAUUAUCUUUAAAGAGAAAAGGAUGGUAUAAUUUGUCUCCAACAUAAAGUAAAGCCCUCUUACAAGGAAGACCCCUUUGUUAUCUCCCUUCCAAACUACUCCAUCCUCCUCCUCCCUCUUCAUUGUUUGUCCUUAGACUUUAGAUGGGAAUUGUUCCAUGACACCUAACUCCGAAUCAUUCUAGUUCCUAACAAAAUGGAAGUUUCGAUUUCCUCUUUCUCCAUGUUGCUUCCAAAAAUCAGCUACCCAUGCCUUCUUCAAAUCAAAUAGGGCAAACAAGGACGGGAAAGUCUCACAUAAGGGCUCCUCACUGCACAUCUUUCCAAAACUUCACCCUACUCCCAUUACCCACCGCAAAGGAAAUCUUCGUUUUAAAAAAUUUUCACCGCUUCCCAAUCUCUUUCCAAAACCCAACCCCAUAGGAAUCUCUCACCGCUAUUGACCCAAACCUCCUUUUUCCUCCCCAAACUUUCCCCUUAUGAUUUUCUUCCACAAUGAAUGUUUUUCACUAAAGGGAUCACCAACACCAUUGCAAAGAAUGGCCAUAUUGAUCAAAGGAAGAGAAUGAACACCUAGUCCUUCUUUCAAUUUUUCUUUACAAAUGGUUGACUACUUGGCUAAGUGUAUUUUAUUCUCUAAGGUCCCUCCUCAUAAAAAAUCCCUUUGAAUCUUCUCUAAUCUCACCCUUACAAUUCUUGGGAUGGUAAAGUAACCUUUUUUGGGAUUGUAGCUUUGCUUCUUAGAAUUUAUAUGCACAAGACACUUGUUUCUUUUAUCUUGGGUUGUGGUGGAGUGGAUUAGAUGAUUAGAUCUUUCAGGGGUGCUUUGAUAUGGUUGAAAUAACUUUACUGUAAAGAUAAAUUUGGACAAACAAGAUGGCAUAAGUUAGAGAAGUUGUUAUUGCCAUCGAGUUGGUAGUUGGGAUUAGGGUUGUAAUAUUUGAUAUUUGGUGCCUUUGCAUCUUAUCUUAGGCUAUCGAGUUCUCUUUCAAUGGAAAAGGUGGUUUGGUAGGUGGUGAGUUAUACGGUGGGAGGAAUUAGUCAAUGCAAAAGUGAUUUAAGGGGGUAAUUUAAACUUGAUUUAAAGCACAAUCCUGCUUUAGGCCCAACUUACUUUAUGCCCCUUUUUUAAGGUCUUGAUCAUUAGCAACCAUUAGGAUGGAAUUACUAGAAAGAGGUUUCAUUUCAUUUGGAGUUGGGAAAGUCUACCUUGUUCUAUGUUUAUUUUAGACAUUAUGGAAGUAAAGAAAUAGGAGGGUUUUUGAAGGCGUAGAAGAAUAGGAUCAAGCGAAUGUGUUACUUUGGAGGGGGCUAGAGUGUAUAUAGAUGAUCUUUUUAUGACCAUAAUAUGCUUUAGGGAUUGGUUGAGCUCCAACAAAGGAGAGGGAGAUUGUUUUUUUGUUUGCUCUCUACCUUGUGUUGGCUUGAUUUAUAUACAUUGUGUGCUUUGGUGUGCCUUUUUUAGGCACUUUUAAUAUAUUCUCUCAUUUAUAUAUAUAUAUAUAUUAUUUAUUAAUUAAUUUAUUUUUAUUUAAAUAAGCAAAUGAGAAUAUAUUAAAAGUGGCAAUGAAAAAAAUGGGGCACACACCUUAUACACAAGUAUGCAUAUAAAAAGUAAAAAAGAAACAAUCGACAACCACAAGCUUAAUUUAAUACUUAGGGCACAACCACUUAUUGAAGUCUAUCAAGGAUGGGGAAUCAGCUUGAAUAUCAUCUUAAAGAGACCCGCAAGACCACAUGUAUAGGCUGGAAAUAAGGCAAUCCUUAAGAGAAUGGAAAGUGCCAUUACCCCAUAGAUGAGGAGAUGGUUAACCGAUUCUUUUUCACUUUUUAAACAUAUAAUAAUAACUCACCAAAAACCAUCUUGGUCUUUGGUUAGGAUCCUUCUCCAUGCCACUUCCCUUGCAAAGAAAUCUACUUUGGUUGGAGCCCAUGAGCCCCAUGCUAUCCUUGAGGGGAAUGGCACUUCUCUCUCCACCUCCAAGGUAGAGUAGAAAGAUUUCACUGAGAAUUCUCUAAUAUAUAAUAUUUGUAAUUGUUAUAUUACAAAAUUAGGCAGCAAUUUCUGGAGUAUCUAACCAUGGUUGUCAUGCAAGGACUUCAAUGUUUAAGUUUCUAAGUCAUUCUGAUGUUGAUGGAUCAGUCAACUAUGUGGAGAGUAGAAUAUGUUGUAUAAUGUUUGAAGCAUUUUUGUUCUUCUAAAGGGUUUUGUUCAUGCACUGAUUUAUCCAGUCUUUUCACUGUUUUUAUUUAUUCACAAAAGAUUAUUGGAAAUAUUAUUUAAAGCCAUGGAUAAUUGUUUUUGUUGUUAAUGGGGUCUUUAAUGUGUUUAGUUAUUUAUAGUUGGACACAUUCGUCUUUUGUUUGUGAUUCUUUGUUGUGUUUUCUCUGUAUUCAUAUCUCAUUCUUGUAUCUAAUGAGACAAUGAUUUAAAAGUAUAUAUUCUUAACUGAACUCAUGGUCCUAAAUGGCAUGGGAUCUGGCAUCAAGUAGUAGUUAUAAGGCAUGCAAAACAAUGGUGGUGCCUCUCAAGAAAAGAAAAGUGGUGCUAGGAUGAGAUAAUUCUCUAGGUUCAGAAAUUUAGUUAUGGAUAGAGAGUAGCACUCUGAUGUUGUUGAAAGGGAUUCAGAACAUUACAUUUGAAAUUAUGUCUCAAAUAGUUAGCAUAAGUAUCUGAUAAAAAAAAAAAAGCGUAAGGAGAAUAGUAACUUAGAGUUAACAAGCUUUUUUAUUUAUUUAUUUUUAAAAAAAAUUCCACUCCUUUUGGAUCUUCUGGAUUGAUAUGACCUAUAAGUUUUUCUCCUUUUCAAAUAAAUGAAAAUUUCUCCAUUCAUACUUUUUCCUUGAAAUGAUCCAAGUGCUGGAUAAGACGAUGCCAAUAUUUUAGUAACAAGUUUGGUUUCUAUGGGCUUAUGUUUUUUCAGCCUGGAUUUGGGUAUCAACAACAGCUUGUUCCUGGCAUGAGGCCUGCUGGACCUCCUAUGCCGAAUUUCUUUGUGCCAAUUGUUCAACAGGGGCAGCAGGGUCAGCGUCCAGGUGGCAGACGUGCUGGAGCUGUUCCUAUGCAACAAACCCAGCAGCAAGUUCCCCU
rnacentral:lncRNA from 1 species